GCCAGUGUGGCAUAGUGGUUUGAGUGUUGUACUGCGACUCUGGAGACCAGGGUUCAAAUUCCUGCUCAGCCA
rnacentral:tRNA from 1 species